rnacentral:rRNA from 1 species
UACGGGGGGGGCAAGCGUUGUUCGGAAUUACUGGGCGUAAAGGGCUCGUAGGCGGCCAACUAAGUCGGAUGUGAAAUCCCCAGGCUUAACCUGGGAACUGCAUCCGAUACUGGAUGGCUUGAAUCCGGGAGAGGGAUGCGGAAUUCCAGGUGUAGCGGUGAAAUGCGUAGAGAUCAGGAAGAACAUCGGUGGCGAAGGCGCUCUGCUGGACCAUAACUGACACUCAGGGACGAAAGCUAGGGGAGCGAAUGGG